GAUGAACGCUAGCGACAGGCCUAACACAUGCAAGUCGAGGGGCAACGGGGCGUAGCAAUACGCUGCCGGCGACCGGCGGAUGGGUGAGUAACGCGUAUGCAACCUGCCUUCAGCAGGGGGAUAGCCCGUUGAAAGACGGAUUAAUACCCCAUAACACAGGGGCUCCGCAUGGAGAUUAUUGUUAAAGGGAUGCUUCCUUCGGGGGUAUUCCGGCUGAAGAUGGGCAUGCGUUCCAUUAGGUAGUUGGUUGAGGUAACGGCUCACCAAGCCUACGAUGGAUAGGGGAACUGAGAGGUUGGUCCCCCACACUGGUACUGAGACACGGACCAGACUCCUACGGGAGGCAGCAGUGAGGAAUCUUGGUCAAUGGACGGAAGUCUGAACCAGCCAUGUCGCGUGAAGGAGGACGGCCCUAAGGGUUGUAAACUUCUUUUGCAGCGGAAUAAAGUAUUCCACGUGAUGGGAUAUUGCAAGUACGCUGCGAAUAAGGAUCGGCUAACUCCGUGCC
rnacentral:rRNA from 1 species